rnacentral:misc_RNA from 1 species
CAUUAUCGUACAACGAGAGGCGCCAGGGCUGUCGCUGACCCCCUCUUUUUGAGGUCGUGCACGCCUUGAGUGUCCUUUCAAACAUCCACCACACACACCCCUUUUGUGCAUCACCGCGUGGGCUCCUUUGGGUCGGUUCGAUCCAAGUGGGGCUUGCGCUUUUUACACAAACACCCUUCGAAUGCAGUGUAGAAUGUCCUUUGCGAUCGUAUGCGAUCAAUACAACUUUCAACAACGGAUCUCUUGGCUCUCGCAUCGAUGAAGAACGCAGCGAAAUGCGAUACGUAAUGUGAAUUGCAGAAUUCAGUGAAUCAUCGAAUCUUUGAACGCACCUUGCGCCCCUUGGCAUUCCGAGGGGCACACCCGUUUGAGUGUCGUGAAUUCCUCAACCUUCUGCAUUUCUUGAUGGCAGAAGGCUUGGACUUUGGAGGUUCUUGCUGGCCUCUCCUUCUAGAAGCCAGCUCCUCUUAAAUGGAUUAGCGGGGUCUGCCUUUAGUCGAUCCUUGACGUGAUAAGCCAUUUCUACGUCUUGGAUUCGACUCUUUUGAGACCUGCUUCUAAUCGUCUUAAUGGGGUGCACUUUUGGACCCACGAACCAUUGACCUC